UUGAUUUUAAAGGAUGUGCUGGCUCUUUGCAUGUGCACUCUUAACAAACCAAUAUCCACCUUUGUGCACAAUCUGUAGGCAUCUUUGCCUAUGUCUCUUUACAAACAACUAUUGAUGUAAUUGAAUGCUUUAUAAAUAUUUGUAAAA
rnacentral:misc_RNA from 1 species